rnacentral:rRNA from 1 species
GAUGAACGCUGGCGGCGUGCCUAACACAUGCAAGUCAAGGAGAAGGUAACCUUCGGGGAACCGGAUACUGGCGCACGGGUGAGUAACACGUGGAUAAUCUACCCUUUACACAGACAUAACUCAGGGAAACUUGAGCUAAUAUCUGAUGAGGCCUCCGGGUCAAAGCUUCGGCGGUAAAGGAUGAGUCUGCGUCUGAUUAGCUAGUUGGUAAGGUAAUGGCUUACCAAGGCGACGAUCAGUAACUGGUCUGAGAGGACGAUCAGUCACACUGGAACUGAGACACGGUCCAGACUCCUACGGGAGGCAGCAGUGAGGAAUUUUGGGCAAUGGGGGAAACCCUGAUCCAGCGACGCCGCGUGUGGGAUGAAUGGGUUAUGCCCUGUAAACCACUGUCAGCAGAGAAGAAAAGGUUCCUUUGGAACCCGGGACUGUAUCUGCAGAGGAAGGACCGGCUAACUACGUGCCAGCAGCCGCGGUAAAGUCAGUG